rnacentral:antisense_RNA from 1 species
AGUAACCAAAGAUUACACCAGGGUUUGUAGUUGGGUUUGAAAUGAUACGAACGUCACCACCACCGGCAGCCCAAGUAUCGUAAACACCACCGAAGUACAUAGCUUUCCAAACUAAUAACCAAGCACCAAAACCUAAUAAGAUUAAGUGGAUACCUAAGAUAGUAGUCAUUUUGUUUUUAUCUUUCCA